GCGUUAUCCGGAUUUACUGGGCGUAAAGGGUGCGUAGGCGGUUUUAUAAGUCUAGCGGUGAAAUUUUCCGGCUCAACCGGGAUACUGCCGUUGAUACUGUAAGGCUAGGAUAUGGUUGCUGUGGGUGGAAUGUGUGGUGUAGCGGUGAAAUGCUUAGAGAUCACACAGAAUAUCGAUUGCGAAGGCAGCUCACAAAGCCAUUAUUGACGCUGAGGCACGAAAGUGUGGGGAUC
rnacentral:rRNA from 1 species